rnacentral:rRNA from 1 species
AACGAACGCUGGCGGCAGGCUUAACACUUGCAAGUCGAACGCCCCGCAAGGGGAGUGGCAGACGGGUGAGUAACACGUGGGAACGUGCCCCAAGGUACGGAACAACUCCGGGAAACUGGAGCUAAUACCGUAUGUGCCCGAGAGGGGAAAGAUUCAUCGCCUUGGGAUCGGCCCGCGUCUGAUUAGCUAGUUGGUAGGGUAAUGGCCUACCAAGGCUACGAUCAGUAGCUGGUCUGAGAGGAUGGCCAGCCACACUGGGACUGAGACACGGCCCAGACUCCUACGGGAGGCAGCAGUGGGGAAUAUUGGACAAUGGGCGAAAGCCUGAUCCAGCCAUGCCGCGUGAGUGAUGAAGGCCUUAGGGUUGUAAAGCUCUUUCGGCGGGGACGAUAAUGACGGUACCCGCAGAAGAAGCCCCGGCUAACUUCGUGCCAGCCGCCGCCGUAAGAC